GCUGCUGCUGACGUUGGCUGCGCGGCGAGCGUGUAGCCGGCGUUGACGGCGCAGCCGUUUUUGGAUUUUGAACGCCGCAUUUUGUAAAAAUCAGUUUUCGGUUCGAAUUCAGUAAACAAAAACUUGUCGCCGGCGCGAGACACGACAAAGAGAAUCAAAAAGCAAAAAGCAAAAAAAAAAACUACAAAUUAGGGCGUGGCCUACGUAAAUACAAUUUAAAUUUAUGCCAGUGAA